UGAUGUAGAUGAUGUGGCGGCGGCUAGCGACGCUGAUGAUGACUCUGAUGAUGACUCUGACGACGAUGCUGACACAGGUGCAGCGGCAGCCAGCGACUCUGAUGACGACUCUGAUGAUGACUCUGACGACGAUGCUGACGCAGGUGCGGCGGCAGCCAGCGACGAUGACUCAGACUCAAGCGACGAUGCUGAUGAUGCUGACGCAGCUGCGGCGGCAGCCAGCGACGAUGACUCAGACUCAAGUGACGGUGCUGAUGAUGCUGACGCAGCUGACGCAGCGACAAGUGCUUAAUAAGCUAUGAAGUCAGAAUCCCUCACGACAUCCUGCCUCUCUCCAGUUUAACGCCUGAUCUACAGCAAAACGGCUAUCAUCUUGAUUGCCAAACUAUGUACAAUAAAACCACCUGAGGCAUUGUCUUACAAUUAUGGGAUCAUGUCAUAUUGCACUCUAUGGUGUAAAACCAGUUGUCUUUUGGGGACAAUAAAAGUUGACAGUUGAAGUUGUUGUAAAAGCUUGUGACAACAUGAAAUAAAAAGGUUUGUCUCAGUUUCAGUA